AUUGAACGCUGGCGGCAGGCCUAACACGUGCAAGUCGAACGGUAACAGGAAGCAGCUUGCUGCUUUGCUGACGAGUGGCGGACGGGUGAGUAAUGUCUGGGAAACUGCCUGAUGGAGGGGGAUAACUACUGGAAACGGUAGCUAAUACCGCAUAACGUCGCAAGACCAAAGAGGGGGACCUUCGGGCCUCUUGCCAUCGGAUGUGCCCAGGUGGGAUUAGCUAGUAGGUGGGGUAACGGCUCACCUAGGCGACGAUCCCUAGCUGGUCUGAGAGGAUGACCAGCCACACUGGAACUGAGACACGGUCCAGACUCCUACGGGAGGCAGCAGUGGGGAAUAUUGCACAAUGGGCGCAAGCCUGAUGCAGCCAUGCCGCGUGUAUGAAGAAGGCCUUCGGGUUGUAAAGUACUUUCAGCGGGGAGGAAGGGAGUAAAGUUAAUACCUUUGCCCAUUGACGUUACCCGCAGAAGAAGCACCGGCUAACUCCGUG
rnacentral:rRNA from 1 species